rnacentral:other from 1 species
UGUCGGAAGGAUGCUGACACGGAACAGGAACUAGCCAAGGAUUUGGUACGCUUCAGGAUGAGGCACUCGGUUACUUAGGAUUAGUAAUCGGCAUGGAUAGCGAAAUGGACAUUGAAUGGACGCAAUAGUAACUAGGAUGGUUGCUACUAAGGAAAGACAAUGGACACCUCUAGGAUUGAGGUAAAUGGACUGCACAUCAGGAUGAUGUAAAGGACACCGCUCAAGGAACAAGCGAAGAGAGUUAACUAAGGAUUGUUAACGGAUCAGGAUAGAUCAUGGACACCGCUAGGAUGGCGACGAAAGGAAUAAGCUGACGGAUUCAGCAUACUAUCAAGGAUUUGAUGCAUGGAGCACCAUUAGUAGCCGGAUUGCUGCGAGUAAAGUUAUAGCCCCGCUAGAUGAAAAUCUAGUGGGGCUUUU